UCGUUGCAGGGACCAAAAUAAAACCAUUUAAUGAGUUAAUUAAUUGUAGUUAAUUACGCCUUAACUUUUCUACUCAACGCCAGAUGUCGCUCUAAAGCAAAAUUCUACUUGACGUAAAACAUUUAUACAUCGCGGUAAUCUCGUCAGUCUUACUCCAUCAUUUUAAAAAGUAUAGACUAGUUUAUGGAUUUCUAAAGUUAUGUCAAGAUGACUGAAUGUAAUAUUGUCAACAAUAAUUGUCAAAACACGCAAUUUAAAAUAUUCAACAUUGUAAUUACAAAAUAGUAUAUUUCUAAUACGCUAUAAUUUUCUCCAAUCGAAAGGCACUCCAUUCCAUUGAUCUCAGAGAGUAUGCUCCUUGAUGAUCUUCACUAUUCAUGGGCAUUUUUAAGUUAUUCAUCGGACACUGAGGCCAUUGAAGUUUUAAGCUGGCGGCAUCAAAAUGGAGUACCUAGAAACCAUACGGCAAUAAUGAGGAUGCAUCGACAUAAGAAGAAUCGAACAUGGGCAAGAUAAAGUUCAAGAAAAAAGCAAAUAUAAUGUGUACUUGUGUGUAGUCAAAGAAAGUUGAAAAAUAAAGCAUAAUUAAUGGCCAUAGAAUACAGAACCGAUACACGAACAUUAAGACUAUUAAAUAUAGACAUAUAGGUUGAUCGUACUACUCGUACUAAUGUAUUUCUUUUGUUCAAUUAUAUUAUUGCAUUAAAGUUAGAUUCUCUAGAUAUAUAUUAUUCAUAGGUUCUGUAUUCUAUAUGAAUUGUUUUAGUGUAAUUAUUGUACUAAAUACCGUUGACCGCCUGUCAACAGUAUUUAUCUCUACAUUACUAUCACAGAAGAUUUUAGGCCCUACAGUAGUUUUUGAAUUAGUAUUUACUAUGGACAAAAUAGCGAAAUCUGAGUUUUUACCUAAAAUAUCAAUCUUUUGUGAACGUGGUGUAGAGUAUAUACCGCCUUAGACUGAAGUAGCUACGCGGGCAACGUUUUCAAAAUAGAAUCGUGUUCAUGGUCGGCCCAUGGUAAAAAUAAUUAGGUACCCGUAGACCCACUGGUGAACACUGUUUAUGAUAACACUUAAAAUAAACCCCGUGGACCCACCAGGAGAACAUAUUGGAGACACUAGAGAUAAUACACCGCUUUAAGGGCGGUCGUACACGGCAUUGACAUCUGGCGUCUAGAUGGCGGGUGGACCUCAGCGAAUUUCAAAGAAAUAUUUAUAAACAUCCAAUGACGUUCGGCUCGGAAACCAGAUCUUCAAUCUCCUGAUUCCUGUGGAGUCUCCAGGUUCCAUCCUCUCCACGUGAGGGUCCUAGGAUUUUUCGCGCUGCCAGACUCCGAUGACUCGGGCACGUAGUCCAGAUGGGUGAGGAUCGUGCAGCCUGAAGGGCGUACUCUGAAGUUUCAAAUGGCCGAAGACCGUCUAGACGUCCUAGGUAGGUCCCGCUGGAGAGAUGAAAUGCAAAAAGACCUUAGCGAACUCGGCGCCGUCGACUAGAUGGAAACUGUUUUGGACAGAGAAGCAUGGCGGUCUUUGGUGUCGGAGGCCAAGAUCCACUUCGGGUCGCUGCGCCACAGCAGUAAGUAAGUAUUUAUAAACAUAUUGUACCUUCUGUGUACCUAACCAAAAACGAGAUAUUUAAGAAAAAGUCCACCCGCUAUUCUGACGUCAGGAUUGCGGUUGGACCUAUGAAAUCUUGCAUUAUACCGCACUAAAAGUAUGCAGUUAUAUGGUACAGUCGCCAUCAGAUAUAUCGGAGUGGCCGAGGUGCUCAAAGAUAUCUAAACACGCAUUGUACCUUCAGUGUACCUCUGUAAAUAGAAAUAGAAACCGGUGUACCUCUCCCCAAAACAAGCUAGGCUAAGCUCAUGCAAGAUUUCAUAGGUCCACCCGCCAUCCUGACGUCAGGUUGGCGGGUGGACCGUUUUGUAAAAUAUCUCGUCUCGGUCUAUUAAAGGUACACUGAGGUACACAGAAGGUACAAUAUGUUUAUUAAUAUUUCUUUGAAAUUCGCUGAGGUCCACCGCCAUCCUAACGCUUACCAUAUAUCUAAGGACCGACCUUAGGGGCAAUAACGAUAGUGCUAGUUCAGAUGUGUCAUUCACAAAUUCGAGCCAAUCGUGCUGUCUAACGCAACUAGAACUCAUCAACCAAUCACGUUGUGGUACUUGUGGCGUUAGACUGCACGAUUGGCUCAAACUCGUGUGCGUAACACCGCUGUACUGGCCUCAUUCUUAUUGCCCGUAAGGCCCGUCCUCAGAUAUAUUAUGUCAAUGACACAGUCGCGAUUUAAAAAACACAUUUUCUGCUACCAAAUUGUUGAGCAUAACGUUUUCCUAUCCAUAGGUUCCAUCUGUCCAGUAGGAUCCACCAUCUCGAUCCACCAGAUUGAAGAGAUUGUUACUUAACUGAUGGAUCGAGAUAAUUAAACCUACUGAAUAGAGCGGGUCGAUUGGAUAUAACAAAGUACGCUUAUAUGAAACGCUGCUCCGGUGUGCGAGUGAGACAGUCAGGCCAAUUUGAACUUGCAUUUGACAGAAAACUGAUUGUCUCCAUCAAACGCUACCAGUUCCAUUGCCGGCCUCUUUGCUGCCUUCUAUAGUGGUUCAAUCUUACCUUGUUUAUGAAUAAAAAGGGGCGUGCACACCGAUGUUAAAGUAAUAUUGGAAUCAUAUCAGUUACUUGCGGGCGUCUCGCUCGCACAAAUACAUGCGUAUAAGUGCGAAAUGAACGCACGAAUGACAGCUAACUGGUAUCAUUCCAAUAUUAUCCUAAAAUUGAUUUAUUGUCAGUUGCACUUUCGAAUUGGUCUACAUAACGAUUUCCUUAGCCUGCACACCGGAUCGGCGUGUGGGCCGGCAUCUAGCUAAUGUAAAGCCACCUCAUUAGGUGAUUUUAGCCUUUUGAACGGCAAGAACACCUAAAGAUGUGGUGAGAGAAAGCCGCGCGUCCCUCAUGCACUGCACUAGCUUUACAGCUUGCAUUGCGACCAAUGUAUGCUGCUCACCGCCCCGCCGGUCGCGUGGGUCCAAUCCGCGGCCCUAGAAGACGUACUUUACAUAUAAACAAGAGCACGCGAGCAUUUUGCGAGUUGUGUAUGUGUACUUGUGUUAUCUAGGCGCACAAACGGUUACAAUAACAAGAAGUGUACACCGCGUGUGCAGUCCAACACGGGAUCACGGGUGCGAUUCGAAAAUAACGUGCUAGCGACGCAUUACGACAUUGAUACUUUACCCUUUGAACGCCAUAACAAAAACGUUACUCACAUGCCAAGGUCACGGGCGCAAGUGAGCUUGAAAGUGCAUGAGUAUUACAUUAGGGACUUUGACAGCGAUUAUAACAGCUACAAUCAAUAAUGUGUUCAUGGCCCUUAAAUCAUGUCUAGUGACGGCGCCUUUAGGUGUUCUUGACGUUCAAAAGGUUAAGGGCGUUUGCUAGCUGGCGCUAGUGCACGGAGCGGGCAAACACGCGCAGGUGCCUUUGUAAGUAAAAUCAGUCGCACGCGUCCGCGCCAGUUAGCGUUGCUCAUACUGUAAGCCGCACGCCCGCUCCGUGCACACGCGCGACGUUGCGGACGCCCUAUGCCCUAAACCUUACUUGAAAGUGUGAAGGUUACUCUGACAGCGGCUAUAUCAGCUAUAAUGUAUUUAUGACGCUUUGAGCAUAGCUAGUUACGACGCCUUAAGGUAUUCUUGGCGUUCAAAAGGUUAAGGGCGUUUGCUAGCUGGCGCGAGUGCACGGAGCGGAUGCACGCGCGCGGGUGCCUUUGUAGGUAAAAUUCGUCGCACGCGUCCGCGCCAGUUAGCGUCGCCAGUUACUGUUUUUCGUUAACCCGCUCCAGCUAGCAAACUAAUCGCAAAUGGUCCGAGAUUGGCGCAAUAACCAUGCAUUCCCUUAUCUGGAUGCACCUAUUCACCAAUGCUUGCUUUAAAGUAACUUGUCGACUCGUCCUGAUAAUAUUUGUGCGACCGUGAAGAAAAUCUAUGCCGUCACUUAGUUUUCAAUUUAUAUGAAAUAAAGAUGUUAAAUGUAUUCAAAAGUUUUUAUUUAUUAAGGUAUGUAUAAGUGCUCUGUGCAUCCGCACCAGCUAGCGGUGCCCUUAGCAAACCGCAAUAACCAUGCAUUCUCUUAUCUGGAUCUGGAUGCACCUAUUCACCAAUGCUUGCUUUAAAUUAACUUGUCGACUCAUCCUGCUAAUAUUUGUGCGACCGUGAAGAAAAUGUAUGGCGUCAGUUAUUUUUCAAUUUAUAUGAAAUAAAGGUGUUAAAUGUAUUCAAAAGUUUUUAUUUCAUAUGUAUAUAUAAUGGAACGAAAUACAGCUACUAUCUUAGCUUGGCAAGCAGUUAAGAGUCGCUGAUACUUGUAAUGUAUUCACUGCGUUAAUUUUAGGUUUAAGAUUC